GAGACCCCUACCUUCAGUUGCUACCAUUACCCGAAAGGCUAAUGGGGCUAAUUGAAGGGACCGCUACCGCUAAGGUGGAGGAAGGAGGGGGCCACGGCAGGUCAGUAUGCCCCGAAACCCUUGGGCCACACGCGGGCUGCAAUGAUAGGUACAGCGGGUUCCGACCUCGAAAGGGGAAGGUAAUCCUUCAAAACCUAUCCCAGUUAUGAUUGAGGGCUGCAACCCGCCCUCAUGAAUCUGGAAUCCGUAGUAAUCGCGUCUCAAAAUGGCGCGGUGAAUAU
rnacentral:rRNA from 1 species